rnacentral:rRNA from 1 species
UCAUAAGCGGAGGAAAAGAAACCAACAGGGAUUGCCUUAGUAGCGGCGAGUGAAGCGGCAAAAGCUCAAAUUUGAAAUCUGGCACCUUCGGUGUCCGAGUUGUAAUUUGAAGAUUGUAACCUUGGGGUUGGCUCUUGUCUAUGUUUCUUGGAACAGGACGUCACAGAGGGUGAGAAUCCCGUGCGAUGAGAUGCCCAAUCCUAUGUAAGGUGCUUUCGAAGAGUCGAGUUGUUUGGGAAUGCAGCUCUAAGUGGGUGGUAAAUUCCAUCUAAAGCUAAAUAUUGGCGAGAGACCGAUAGCGAACAAGUACAGUGAUGGAAAGAUGAAAAGAACUUUGAAAAGAGAGUGAAAAAGUACGUGAAAUUGUUGAAAGGGAAGGGUUUGAGAUCAGACUCGAUAUUUUGUGAGCCUUGCCUUCGUGGCGGGGUGACCCGCAGCUUAUCGGGCCAGCAUCGGUUUGGGCGGUAGGAUAAUGGCGUAGGAAUGUGACUUUGCUUCGGUGAAGUGUUAUAGCCUGCGUUGAUGCUGCCUGCCUAGACCGAGGACUGCGAUUUUAUCAAGGAUGCUGGC